CAGAUUUGUGGAAACAUCUUUUCUCCAUCUGGUGCAUUUUUGGUUUUCUACAACCUAACCACAAAUUUCUGGCCCAUCUCCUUACAGCAGAGGCAAGCACUUAUUCCAAGACUUCUGCCAACCUCUGUCCUAUGGCCAGAGCUGAUCAGUCUAGGGAUGAGCGACCUGACCUUGGGAUGAUGAGGUGAUAUAUAUAUAAAAGGCAAGCAUCUAGUCCUGACAACCCUUCGAAGGAACAACAGAACAUCAGGUUAGAAGCCAAGAAACACAAGCUCCACUCCUAAUUGCCCAGCAUGUUCAGCCUGAGACAAAGUUACUUUAUCUCUCCUCUCUCCGGACCUAAGUUUCUUCCCAUGUGAAAGUGAGGGGUUGCUACUAAAAUAGCAUAAUUUUCCAGUGUGUGUUUUGUGCAUGUUAAUGAGCUCCCUGUGAGGGGAAGGAAAACUUUAUAGUUUCAAGCUGAGCUCCCAAAGUUUCUACGCCAUAAAACUUGUGAGAGUAUUCAACACAAUCAUGUGCUUUGUGAACCUUCUAGAAAGGCAUAAGUAUGCAAUACUUCUUUAAGUUCUUUGAUCUUAGAGCCUUCAUCCUGACUCUCACAGCAUUUCCACAGAGCCCAUUCUCAGAAACUGUGUGAGAGAGGUUUCUAAGCCUCACUUGGAGAGAACAUGGAAACGUGGGCUUCGUGAACACAGCUGCCAGCUUCCGGCAGAGCUCAGAGACAUGGGGAAGUUGGUUCUGUGUUGCACUUACACCUGUUUGAAAACAUCCCCCUGUCUCCCUUGGAAGUCUCACAAGACCCCCCAGAGGCACUGCCAGCAUAGAGCCAAGCCGGCAGUUUGACUGGAAUUUUGUUCAGACCAGGCAAGUGUGCUGGCCUUGAGCAGAGCCAGAGAGAACGUGCAUUCCGGAGCUUCUCUGCCAUUAGCCACGCAGCAGCUGUAGCCCAUGCCUGAGCUGUUCUUCAACUUCCUGAGGCGGAUGUCUAGCAACACUAUGGAGUGAAAGCCGAGGGCUGAGAGACUCCCUUUCAGGAUCUGAAGGACAGUAAUCUACCACCUUGUCCUUAACCUGAGGUGUCCUACGAUGUGUCCCCAAGUUCCAGAAUUUGAGAUAAUUGGGUAUCUAGCUGUACUGAGGCUUUACUGCUGCCUUUCACAUUUUUGUCCGUAAGAAACUCAUUACCAAUUCUCACCAGUGCACCUGCAAAGAUCUACUAGGUAAGAGAGUCUCCUUCAUUUUUGAUUUACAUGUAUCUGUCAAAGCAGGCAGUAUGGCUCUGUGGGUAAAGGUCUUUGCUGACCUAAGUUUGAUUCCAGACACACAACACAGUAAAAGAGAACCGAAAACUACAAUGUUGUCUGACCUCCACAAGCACACUACGGCACGUCCCAGCCCCUAAAUAAAGAAAUGCAAUAAAAAGAUAUUUAAAAGCAAGCUAAAUGUUGACUUCAUGAGAAUUCCAUCUGCUGGUUUGGUUCUGCCUUCUGGGGUCACACAGAUGAGCUUUCCCCCUGUCACGUGACAGCCCUAGUAAUCAGAGGAUUCUCUGAAAGGCUGAAGGGCUAAUAAAAGAACAGCAGUCAGCCGGCUUUGAACAUGUUCCUGAUAUAGUAGACAACAGAAUUUGAUGUGCGGCAUGUGAAGACCCUGGUGUACCAUUCCCUCUAUCAAAGUCAGCGAGCAUCUCCCUUAGGCUACUGGAUAACAAUAUUUAAAAAGAAAAAAAAACUCUAUAGAACUGCAGCGUGCCAUCAGCUGACAUUGAUCCGUCAGGGCAAAAGUCCCCCAAAACCUGGGCAGCAGCUGCAGUCAGAGUACCUACUGGCAAUGAGACUUUAUGUGAUAGAAGACAUACAAUGGGCUCUGCAACGGCUGUGGGCAGCAGACCGGAGGGAUUAAUGUUGGCGCACUCUUUGAUCUGGGGCCGAUGUGGACACAGAUAUCGGUUACAGUGAAUUCCAUGAGAUUGAAUUUUGUUUGGCUUACUUGUUGACUUUGGACUGAACAUUUCACCGAAAAUGGCUGAGCUUGGUCUGGAACCAUGUAGUGUAUGUACACAAGCAGAGCAAUGUGUGUCUAAGGGCACUCCUCACUUCCUGGGGGUAAAAAGAAUUCCUAAUGCAGACAUAUUCAGUAUUUCCCCUUCCCUCCCUCCCCCUACAUUCCCUUCCUCCCUCUCUUUCACUCUCCGUUCCUCACCUCCCUCCCUCCCUCCCUCUCUCUCCCUUCUUCCCCCUCUCCCUCCCUCCCUCCCUACCUCUCCCUCUCCCUCCCUCCCUCCUUUGCUGCCUUCUUUGAGAUUUUCUGUUAGGUACCAGGUGUCUGAAUCAGAGAAAACUGCUCGUGGAUUAUCCUAGCAUUGGUUUCUUCCGUCUACAGGAAACAGUUCGUAACUAGGAGAGAAGUUCUGGGCUAAGAAGACUUCACAUUUGCAGAGCAGAUUUCCCAUUGAAAGAGGCAGACUACAUGGGAAAAAUCUAAGGUCUCCACUUGCUGGGCAUUCUUAACAAUUUUGAAGUGGCCACAAAUCACAUUAGAGAAGGAAAAUCUCAGCCCAACAGCCCAACUCCAAGAAUGUGUGAAAAUGUGGCAAGUUGGAAUUAAAGUGAGGAGAGCCCAGAUGGUCGGCUGUUUGUGUUUAGCCACGAGGACAUGAAAUUGAUUCAGAAAUGCUUUCCUCUUUUCGUCCUGCCUGUCUCCCCUCACCCCCAGCAGCAGUAAAACCCAUGUUCUGUGUGCAGGCUCAGGGGAUGCAAGUUUUUUCCAACAUUCUCCUGAAGAAACCUAAUGAAGACCAACAGACCUUGAAGGGAUAUUACACAUUGUAUUCUGAUUUCAGAGAAAGUUAUUUGUAGUUAUUUCUUUCUUGGCCAUGGGUGUUAUAAUCUAACUAAAGAUACUUUGUUUUCAAGUGACAAACAAUACAUGCGAAGUUCUUUGGGACAUAGGCCUUCAUGGGAAAAUGGCCUCUGAUAUGUCUACCCAUUUGCCAAUAAAAGUUCUGCCCAA